rnacentral:misc_RNA from 1 species
GUAUUUAUGUAAUUUAGGAUGAGUAGGAAAUUGUUUUAGUCAAACAAAAUAUAAAUAGAAAAAGCUGAAAUCAGAGGCAUGUGGGCGGGGAGGAACUAGUAAGGGCCCGCUGGGGUUCAUGAGUGACUAGAAAUCAACAAAAACUAGGAUAUGAUUAAUAAUAUAUCUAUGAGUAAAAGUGCCCUUGUAUACUGAUACAAACUAGAGGAACUACCUUACCUGCCAGACUAAGUUUUGGAU